UACGUAGGGUGCGAGCGUUGUUCGGAAUUAUUGGGCGUAAAGAGCUCGUAGGCGGUUUGUCACGUCUGCUGUGAAAUCCCGAGGCUCAACCUCGGGCCUGCAGUGGGUACGGGCAGACUGGAGUGCGGUAGGGGAGAAUGGAAUUCCUGGUGUAGCGGUGGAAUGCGCAGAUAUCAGGAGGAACACCGAUGGCGAAGGCAGUUCUCUGGGCCGUAACUGACGCUGAGGAGCGAAAGCGUGGGGAGCGAACAGG
rnacentral:rRNA from 1 species